UACGUAGGAGGCGAGCGUUGUCCGGAGUUACUGGGCGUAAAGGGUGCGCAGGCGGCGGUUCGCGUGGCGAGAUGAAAUCUCCUGGCUUACCUGGGAGGAUGGUCGCCAGACGGGAUCGCUUGAGGGUCGGAGAGGGGCGUGGAAUUCCGGGUGGAGCGGUGAAAUGCGUAGAGAUCCGGAGGAACACCGACGGCGUAGGCAGCGCCCUAGACGAGACCUGACGCUCAGGCACGAAAGCGCGGGGAGCGAACAGG
rnacentral:rRNA from 1 species